rnacentral:lncRNA from 10 species
CCCAACUGAUCAACGGUUAUUACAGCUCUGGGGUUCCUUACAGUCAAAAGAUUUGUCUCUGUCAAGAUUUUUAGUAGAGGAAAAGGCAUUAUCUUCUAGAUAGGGUUAUAUAAAGCAGCUCUCCAGCAUUAAGAAACAUAGCUUUGCCAAUACUUCUGCUCAUUGCAAAGAAACAGUGUUAUAGGCCCAGGGGUGAGCAUGCACAGAGAAAAGGCUUUGUGAGGACACAGUGAGAAGAUGGCUGUAUGCAAACCAAAGAGAGAGGUCUCCGGAGAAACCUGACCUGCUGACACCUUGAUCUGGGAUUUCC